rnacentral:rRNA from 1 species
UACGGAGGGGGCAAGCGUUGUCCGGAAUUACUGGGCGUAAAGGGCGCGUAGGCGGCCUUCUAAGUCGAACGUGAAAUCCCCGGGCUCAACCCGGGAACUGCGUCCGAUACUGGAAGGCUUGAAUCCGGGAGAGGGAUGCGGAAUUCCAGGUGUAGCGGUGAAAUGCGUAGAUAUCUGGAGGAACACCGGUGGCGAAGGCGGCAUCCUGGACCGGCAUUGACGCUGAGGCGCGAAAGCCAGGGGAGCAAACGGG